rnacentral:misc_RNA from 1 species
AGCAGCCGCGGUAAUUCCAGCUCCAAUAGCGUAUAUUAAAGUUGUUGCAGUUAAAAGCUCGUAGUUGAAUUUCGGGGUUAGUAGGUUGGUCAUGCCUCUGGUAUGUACUGGUCUCACUGAUUCCUCCUUCCUGAUGAGCCGUAAUGCCAUUAAUUUGGUGUUGCGGGGAAUUUGGACUGUUACUUUGAAAAAUUGAGUGUUUAAAGCAAGCUAACGCUUGAAUACAUUAGCAUGGAAUAAUGAAAUAGGACGUUCGAUCCUAUUUUGUUGGUUUCUAGGAUUGACGUAAUGAUUAAUAGGGAUAGUUGGGGGCAUUAGUAUUCAAUUGUCAGAGGUGAAAUUCUUGGAUUUAUUGAAGACUAACUACUGCGAAAGCAUUUGCCGAGGAUGUUUUCAUUAAUCAAGAACGAAAGUUAGGGGAUCGAAGACGAUCAGAUACCGUCGUAGUCUUAACCAUAAACUAUGCCGACUAGGGAUCGGAUGAUGUUUAAUUUUUAAUGUACUCAUUCGGUCCG